UUACAGUAUUUAUAUACAAUUAAAAUAUUAACGUUUAGAUUUUUUCUCUCAUAAUGCAAAAUGAUAAAGAAGAAGCUUCGGAAAAUAAAGAAAAUAGGAAGAGCGAAGCAAAAUAUCACUUCCGGUAGCCAUCUUUGUUAAUUUAAUAAAUGGAAAUCGUAACUAUAGUUAUGAUGUUGAGCUAAACGUCUUUAUUGCAGAGCAGACUGAGCUUUUUUCUUUCCAGCUGGCUAGAAGAGUCUUUGAGAAAUGUGGAAAUAGCAUCAAAACAACGAUAUCUACAGUAUCAUAUGACCGUAACAAGAAAAAGGAUUGGCAGCUCAUACAGCAGGUGUUUUCCAUCAUCUGUCAAAGGUCACCUCAGGGGCGAUGUAGUCGGGUGUCCCACAGAAGGUGGAGGUCCGCAAGUCGAGCUGCAUGUUCUCCUUACACAUGCCAAAGUCCGC